UACGUAGGGACCAAGCGUUGUUCGGAUUUACUGGGUGUAAAGGGCGCGUAGGCGGUGCGGUAAGUCACUUGUGAAAUCUCUGAGCUUAACUCAGAACGGCCAAGUGAUACUGCAGUACUAGAGUGCAGAAGGGGCAAUCGGAAUUCUUGGUGUAGCGGUGAAAUGCGUAGAUAUCAAGAGGAACACCUGAGGUGAAGACGGGUUGCUGGGCUGACACUGACGCUGAGGCGCGAAAGCCAGGGGAGCAAACGGG
rnacentral:rRNA from 1 species